CAUGGAGGGUGAGAAUCCCGUUCAUGGUUAAUUUUAAGGCGCUUUACGAUACGUUUUCAAAGAGUCGAGUUGUUUGGGAUUGCAGCUCAAAAUGGGAGGUAAAUUUCUCCUAAAGCUAAAUAUUGGCGAGAGACCGAUAGCGAACAAGUACCGUGAGGGAAAGAUGAAAAGAACUUUGAAAAGAGAGUUAAACAGUACGUGAAAUUGUUGAAAGGGAAACGAUUGAAGUCAGUCGUACCAACGGGAAAUCAAUUCAUCGAGUGUUAAAUUUGGGUUUCGAAGAGUGUUAAAACCUUUGGGUUCAGAUAUUUUCACUUUUUGAACGUAUUUUCUCGUACGGUAGGUUAACAUCGAUUUUGAACAUUAUAAAAUGAUCGGAGGAAUGUAGCUUCGAUCUCGUAUUGAAGUGUUAUAGCCUUUGGUAGAUGUAAUGAUCGAGAUCGAGGAUUGCAACGAAUACCCUUUUGGGCUAUCCGUCUGAUCUCUGAUACGUUGCCUCGGUAACGAAAGCGUGCUUACGGUAUUGAGGUAUUACGGUCAAAAGGUUAGAACGUGAUUACAUUCGUUAAGGAUGUUGACGUAAUGG
rnacentral:rRNA from 1 species